rnacentral:tRNA from 1 species
GCGGGUAUGGUUUAAUGGCAAAACAUCAGCUUCCCAAGCUGAGGACACGGGUUCGAUUCCCGUUAUCCGCUCCA